CCAGGCCUUGCGGUUCUGGUUUGCAGCUCUGGCACCACUCAGGGCCCUGCUCCCCGCCUUCCCUGCUGCCACACGACUCAGCCUUGGCACCGAACCAAAGCUGAUGGAAAAACCUAACUAUCUGGAGCAUUGUCAAUCUCGUGGCAGAAAGAAAAGGACAAGGCAAAUGGUGCCCUGACUUCCAGAACUCAGCACAAAAGUGACCAACAUCACUUCUCUGACUAAAGCAAGUCAUAUAGCCAUUCCUAAGGUCAACAGCAUGGGGAUAUAUCCUCCUACAGAGAAGAGCGUGACACAGGAAAGAAACUGAAACGUUUAGUGAAUGAGAACACAUCACCACCUCCUCCUAGGAUGACUUCUUUCCCAGAGCCAUGCUCUCCUUCUGGCACCUUCAUGAUGACCGCGUUUGCAAAUAUACUCCACCACCUUCUGGGGAUGCAAACUGGUACAGCCG